CCACGAUUUGCAGAAACACAAGUACACUUCAAGUAAGAAAACCUUUGUAUUUAGCUAUAUUAAGAAUGCACGUGUUAAAACGUACACGUGCUUUGUUUGUGCACGUGUACAUGCAGCAUUGGCUUAAAAUUAGAUAACAUGGUGUUUUUAAUUUCAGACACUUAUGAAACAUAUGUGUACAUGUAGCACUGCUGACAUAAACGUUAUGUACAUGCAAGUUCAUGUAGUUUUGAACUUUUCCAGGAAUUACCUCAGAAACAAAGAAGGAUUUGUGGAUCAAGAUCAAUGAUGCCUUCAAUUAGGAUUCACAGCACCCCAGAACAGCGGCUGAACUAACAAAGAAGUGGGACAACCUUGUUCAAACCCACCGGGCAAAGUAUUCCCAAUAUAAGAGAGAAUUGGGUAGAACUGGUUCUGGAACAAAUCCUGUGAAACUGUCUGAGGUGACAAAACGAGUUAUGGCAGUUGUUGGGGAAAAUUCACCCAACAUUGUAGAAUUAGGCAGUGGGCUGGACAGCACCAUACUUCAUAUUUCAUUUACUAAAUUUCGAAUUGCAGUGCAGUGGAGACACCUUCACAGCCUUCGCAUACUAUAGAACUGUACGAGGAGCCACUAAAUCCGGUACAGGAUAUUUCCACAAGUUACAUUGUCAACUGUUCUGGAAGCAGAAACAACACUAACUACAACGACUGCAGUCACUGCAGCACAUGCAUGGAAAUCAUGGCCC